CGCAAUGGGCGAAAGCCUGACGGAGCGACGCCGCGUGACUGAUGAAGCCCUUAGGGGCGUAAAGGUCUUUUAUGAGGGAAGAAGUUUAUUGACGGUACCUCAGGAAUAAGGGGCUCCUAAUCUCGUGCCAGCAGGAGCGGUAAUACGAGAGCCCCGAGCGUUAUCCGGAAUCACUGGGCGUAAAGGGUGUGUAGGUUGUUUUGUUAGUCUUUUGUUAAAUCUCCGAGCUUAACUUGGAAACCGCGAGAGAAACGGCAAAACUAGAGAGUGUGAGAGGUGUACGGAACUCAUGGUGUAGGGGUGAAAUCCGUUGAUAUCAUGGGGAACACCAAAAGCGAAAGCAGUACACUAGCACACAUCCGACGCUAAACACGAAAGCGU
rnacentral:rRNA from 1 species